rnacentral:rRNA from 1 species
CCAAUAGCGUAUAUUAAAGUUGUUGCAGUUAAAAAGCUCGUAGUUGAAUUUCGGGAUCAGACUGUCGGUCGUGCCUCGGUACGCACUGGCAUUAUUGGUUCCUACCUUCUGAAGAACCGCGAUGUCAUUAAUUUGGUGUCGCGGGGAAUCAGGACUGUUACUUUGAAAAAAUUAGAGUGUUUAAAGCAGGCGCACGCUUGAAUACAUUAGCAUGGAAUAAUGAAAUAGGACGUUUGAUUCUAUUUUGUUGGUUUCUAGGAUCGACGUAAUGAUUAAUAGGGAUAGUUGGGGGCAUUAGUAUUCAAUUGUCAGAGGUGAAAUUCUUGGAUUUAUUGAAGACUAACUACUGCGAAAGCAUUUGCCAAGGAUGUUUUCAUUAAUCAAGAACGAAAGUUAGGGGAUCGAAGACGAUCAGAUACCGUCGUAGUCUUAACCAUAAACUAUGCCGACUAGGGAUCGGAUGAUGUUAAUUUUAUAAUGACUCAUUCGGCGCCUUACG